GAAAAAUAAACAACCUAUUCUACCCAAGGUCCAUGAACAAGCCCAUGGCCCAACAAAGUGGAACCCUAGCUAGCAGAUGACCAAAGAAACUUUGCAUUCCAGUAGCUCCAGCGCCAUCAUCUCCCAAAGCUCUUGUGGUUGAAAGACACUAAGAGGAUCUCCAUAGAAGCCAUUAUCUAAGAGCAUGCUUAUACCAAGCAAAGUAAGAGAUUCUCAGCCAACAUCCUCUAAAC
rnacentral:misc_RNA from 1 species